AGCGAACGCUGGCGGCAGGCCUAACACAUGCAAGUCGAACGAAGCCUUCGGGCUUAGUGGCGGACGGGUGAGUAACACAUGGGAACGUACCUUUUGGUUCGGAACAACUCAGGGAAACUUGAGCUAAUACCGGAUGAGCCCUUAGGGGGAAAGAUUUAUCGCCGAAAGAGCGGCCCGCGUUAGAUUAGCUAGUUGGUGAGGUAAAGGCUCACCAAGGCUACGAUCUAUAGCUGGUCUGAGAGGAUGAUCAGCCACACUGGGACUGAGACACGGCCCAGACUCCUACGGGAGGCAGCAGUGGGGAAUCUUGCGCAAUGGGCGAAAGCCUGACGCAGCCAUGCCGCGUGAAUGAUGAAGGUCUUAGGAUUGUAAAAUUCUUUUACCAGGGACGAUAAUGACGGUACCUGGAGAAAAAGCCCCGGCUAACUUCGUGCCAGCAGCCGCCGUAAAAC
rnacentral:rRNA from 1 species